AUUGAACGCUGGCGGUAUGCUUAACACAUGCAAGUCGAACGGUAACGACAGAGAGCUUGCUCUCUGGGCGACGAGUGGCGGACGGGUGAGUAAUAUAUAGGAACCUUCCUCAUAGUUUAGGAUAAGCACUCGAAAGAGUGUCUAAUACUGGAUGUGGACUACGGUUUAAAGCAGGGGAUCUUCGGACCUUGUGCUAUGAGAUGGGCCUAUACAAGAUUAGCUAGUUGGUGAGGUAAGGGCUCACCAAGGCGACGAUCUUUAGCUGGUUUGUAGAGGAUGAUCAGCCACACUGGGACUGAGACACGGCCCAGACUCCUACGGGAGGCAGCAGUAGGGAAUUUUCGGCAAUGGGCGAAAGCCUGACCGAGCGAUGCCGCGUGAGUGAUGAAGGCCUCGG
rnacentral:rRNA from 1 species